rnacentral:misc_RNA from 1 species
AAGUCGUAACAAGGUCUCCGUAGGUGAGUAAUAAAUUUGAAUCCUUUGAAUCUUUUUUCACAAUAUACUAACAUUAUUUUCCAGGUGAACCUGCGGAGGGAUCAUUAAAAGAGAACGUUUCUUUUCGCAAGGAAAGGAAUACUCCAACCCUUGUCUAUUUAUACAAAAAAUUUGUUGCUUCGGCGAGUUCAAGAUGUGAAAAAUGAACUUGUUUCUUCCUUUCAUAUCUUCGCCAGAAGAAAUUCAAUUUAAAGCUCUUGAAAAAUUUAUACCUGUCUGAAUAUCAAUUUUUGAAAGAUUGUGGAUUCACAUCCCAAUCAUUUAAUAAAUAAAAUUACAA